rnacentral:rRNA from 1 species
AGUGAACGCUGGCGGUGGGCCUAACACAUGCAAGUCGAACGGCAGCACAGUAAGAGCUUGCUCUUACGGGUGGCGAGUGGCGGACGGGUGAGGAAUACAUCGGAAUCUACUUUUUCGUGGGGGAUAACGUAAGGAAACUUACGCUAAUACCUCAUACGACCUACGGGUGAAAGCAGGGGAUCUUCGGACCUUUCGCGAUUGAAUGAGCCGAUGUCGGAUUAGCUAGUUGGCGGGGUAAAGGCCCACCAAGGCGACGAUCCGUAGCUGGUCUGAGAGGAUGAUCAGCCACACUGGAACUGAGACACGGUCCAGACUCCUACGGGAGGCAGCAGUGGGGAAUAUUGGACAAUGGGCGCAAGCCUGAUCCAGCCAUACCGCGUGGGUGAAGAAGGCCUUCGGGUUGUAAAGCUCUGUUGUUGGGAAAGAAAAGCAGCAGGUUAAUACCCCGCUGUUCUGACGGUACCUAAAGAAUAAGCACCGGCUAACUUCGUG